rnacentral:lncRNA from 1 species
GCCUAUAUUUAUUAUGUACAACCUCAUAUGUUCUUUUAUUUUGAUUGUUUUGAAGUAUAAAGCUUGCUGGUGGCAGUUUACCACAGUGUGACUACUGGGAGCAGUGAAAUCAGCUGGAGAGAAGCCAUGUGUCUACAUUUUUCUCAGUAAAAUUGCUUUUCAGAAGCUGAAGAACACCAGCACCACCUGGGAGGAACAGAAUAGAACACCUGAGAGACACCACUGCAGAAAUAUUUAUGUGGAUUUGGGGCGAGGUGGAAGGCUGUGCUUCAGCAAUCAGGUAAAAGUUAGGACAAUUAGCGUUAUUACUGUUAAUAUGAACUCUUAUUUUUUACCAACAGACUAGUGAGGGCUGGAUAAAUUUGGGUUAUAUAGUAAUGAAGGCACAUAUCUCAUGUGCCCUGGUGGACUGUAAACUUGAAGGGAAAAGUCUAUGCCAAUAUUCUCUAAAGCACACAGUGUAACACAUUUGUUGACUUGUCUAUAUAAAAUGAUUAGAAAUAACUUCGAAUGCUGAGAUGUGACAUUGCAGAUGCUUUGUCAGUGUUCAUAUAUAUCCCAUAACAACUUUGAAACAGAAGGGAAGAAGAAAAGAAAACCAACUUAUAUUUAUGGAAUAAGUAGCCUUACAGGCUGAUUCAAUUUCUAUCAAAAAUAAUAAUAAUAAUAAUAAUAAAAGAUUCUGGUUAUACAAGAAAUUCAACAUAAAUGGUUACGGAAUAUGCUUGUUUCACAUCUUAAACAGCAUUUUCCAGUACAAUGCGACAAAGGUGUGAACAUGAAGUAAAUAAUCGUUGAGGAGUUUUCAUUUAAAUUUCUGCAUACCAGAGAAAAAUGGUCUAUUUCCUUAUGAAUUUCAUCCCAAGAGGCUUGAUACAGAGUGACCAAGGUAAGAUGGAGCAAAGGGAUUGGAGUAAAUUAAUAAGGAAACCAAAUAAAUAUGAAUGAGAAAAAAGAAAAUGCAUAAGGCUAUGACACUUGAAUUAGAAAUUUGAGGAAAUAGAAAAGAGGGAUAAUCUAAGAAUAGCAAAAAAUGGAGCAAGUAGAGACUUUCCGUGUAGUACUUAAAUUCUACUUUUUCUAUGGGCCUCCUUUGAC